AAAGUAACUUUUAAAAAAAAAGUUUUCAGACACUUGUCUGUUUUAUCAGAGGAGAUCACUUUGGUCACACAAGAAUGUUUAUAAGCACAGGCUGUGUCCUAUAUAGGCAAUAGGAUGCCAUUUAGGACAGACCCAGUUUACAAAUGAAAACACCUUCAGCAGGACAGCAACUGUUCAGAUAUACUAUUUUGUAUCCAGCCAAUGAGUCAUUCAUAGGAUUCUCCAACUUUAAAAAUAAAUGUUUUUAUAUCAAUUUGUCUGCUAUUUCUUUAUUUCAUUUGAAUUAGAGGUUAGUAGUAUUAACUAGUAGAAGAUAUAACCUGUGAUAACAGAAUGGAAGAAAUCCUUUUUUCUUUGUCAUUUGUCCCCAGCUCCACCAGUGAAUAGAACUUAGUGAUAUCGGUGAAUGUGGUAAUUCAUAACCGGGUGAAAUAUAAAACCCCAAUAGAUUCUAGAUACUACAGAGGGCAUACGGGUCUCUCUGAGAUGGACGUCCCAACGGGUCUCUCUCUGAGAUGAGAUGGACGUCCCAACGGGUCUCUCUCUGAGAUGGAUGGACGUCCCAACGGGUCUCUCUCUGAGAUGGACGUCCCAACGGGUCUCUCUCUGAGAUGGACGUCCCAACGGGUCUCUCUCUGAGAUGGACGUCCCAACGGGUCUCUCUCUGAGAUGGACGUCCCAACGGGUCUCUCUCUGAGAUGGANNNNNNNNNNUGACAUUAAAGUUGUAAACAGAUCCAUAGCCCCGCCCCAUUUAAUUGUAUGGGACAAUACAGUUCUAAAUGACGUUAAAGUUGUAAACAGAUCCAUAGCCCCGCCCCAUUUAAUUGUAUGGGACAAUACAGUUCUAAAUGACGUUUUAAAGUUCUAAAUGACAUUAAAGUUGUAAACAGAUCCAUAGCCCCGCCCCAUUUAAUUGUAUGGGACAAUACAAUUCUAAAUGACGUUUUAAAGUUCUAAAUGACAUUAAAGUUGUAAACAGAUCCAUUUAAUUGUAUGGGACAAUACAGUUCUAAAUGACAUUAAAGUUGUAAACAGAUCCAUUUAAUUGUAUGGGACAAUACAGUUCUAAAUGACAUUAAAGUUGUAAACAGAUCCAUUUAAUUGUAUGGGACAAUACAGUUCUAAAUGACAUUAAAGUUGUAAACAGAUCCAUUUAAUUGUAUGGGACAAUACAGUUCUAAAUGAAGUACCAUAGCAUUUUGAACUGUUAAUGAUUUCUAUCCAUACAUUUCUAGAACUGUAAUUGCUGUGGUCGGUGUAUCGUCAUUUUAAAUGUAAUGUGAGUUGUGGUUUUGUUAGAUGUACUCAUGCCACCGGUUCUUUUUAGUUUUCAACACCCGCAGUAUCGUUUUGUAACAAAGUAACUUUUAAAAAAAAAGUUUUCAGACACUUGUCUGUUUUAUCAGAGGAGAUCACUUUGGUCACACAAGAAUGUUUAUAAGCACAGGCUGUGUCCUAUAUAGGCAAUAGGAUGCCAUUUAGGACAGACCCAGUUUACAAAUGAAAACACCUUCAGCAGGACAGCAACUGUUCAGAUAUACUAUUUUGUAUCCAGCCAAUGAGUCAUUCAUAGGAUUCUCCAACUUUAAAAAUAAAUGUUUUUAUAUCAAUUUGUCUGCUAUUUCUUUAUUUCAUUUGAAUUAGAGGUUAGUAGUAUUAACUAGUAGAAGAUAUAACCUGUGAUAACAGAAUGGAAGAAAUCCUUUUUUCUUUGUCAUUUGUCCCCAGCUCCACCAGUGAAUAGAACUUAGUGAUAUCGGUGAAUGUGGUAAUUCAUAACCGGGUGAAAUAUAAAACCCCAAUAGAUUCUAGAUACUACAGAGGGCAUACGGGUCUCUCUGAGAUGGACGUCCCAACGGGUCUCUCUCUGAGAUGAGAUGGACGUCCCAACGGGUCUCUCUCUGAGAUGGAUGGACGUCCCAACGGGUCUCUCUCUGAGAUGGACGUCCCAACGGGUCUCUCUCUGAGAUGGACGUCCCAACGGGUCUCUCUCUGAGAUGGACGUCCCAACGGGUCUCUCUCUGAGAUGGACGUCCCAACGGGUCUCUCUCUGAGAUGGANNNNNNNNNNGAUCCAUUUAAUUGUAUGGGACAAUACAGUUCUAAAUGACAUUAAAGUUGUAAACAGAUCCAUUUAAUUGUAUGGGACAAUACAGUUCUAAAUGACAUUAAAGUUGUAAACAGAUCCAUUUAAUUGUAUGGGACAAUACAGUUCUAAAUGAAGUACCAUAGCAUUUUGAACUGUUAAUGAUUUCUAUCCAUACAUUUCUAGAACUGUAAUUGCUGUGGUCGGUGUAUCGUCAUUUUAAAUGUAAUGUGAGUUGUGGUUUUGUUAGAUGUACUCAUGCCACCG
rnacentral:lncRNA from 13 species